UCCAGACUCCUACGGGAGGCAGCAGUGGGGAAUAUUGCACAAUGGGGGGAACCCUGAUGCAGCGACGCCGCGUGGGUGAAGGAGCACCUCGGUGCGUAAAGCCCUAUCGGCAGGGAAGAAGCAGACGGUACCUGACUAAGAAGCCCCGGCUAACUACGGGCCAGCAGCCGCGGUAAUACGUAGGGGGCAAGCGUUAUCCGGAUUCACUGGGUGUAAAGGGAGCGUAGACGGCGACGCAAGUCUGGAGUGAAAGCCCGGGGCCCAACCCCGGGACUGCUCUGGAAACUGCGGCGCUGGAGUACGGGAGGGGCAGGCGGAAUUCCUGGUGUAGCGGUGAAAUGCGUAGAUAUCAGGAGGAACACCGGCGGCGAGGGCGGCCUGCUGGACCGUGACUGACGUUGAGGCUCGAGAGCGUGGGGAGCAAACAGGAUUA
rnacentral:rRNA from 1 species